CCUACGGGGGCUGCAGUGGGGAAUAUUGGACAAUGGGCGAAAGCCUGAUCCAGCCAUGCCGCGUGUGUGAAGAAGGCCUUCGGGUUGUAAAGCACUUUCAGUGGGGAAGAAAGCCUUGGGGCUAAUACCCUCGAGGAAGGACAUCACCCACAGAAGAAGCACCGGCUAACUCCGUGCCAGCAGCCGCGGUAAUACGGAGGGUGCGAGCGUUAAUCGGAAUUACUGGGCGUAAAGCGCGCGUAGGCGGUCUGAUAAGCCGGUUGUGAAAGCCCCGGGCUCAACCUGGGAACGGCAUCCGGAACUGACAGGCUAGAGUGCAGGAGAGGAAGGUAGAAUUCCCGGUGUAGCGGUGAAAUGCGUAGAGAUCGGGAGGAAUACCAGUGGCGAAGGCGGCCUUCUGGACUGACACUGACGCUGAGGUGCGAAAGCGUGGGUAGCAAACAGGAUUAGAUACCCCGUAGUC
rnacentral:rRNA from 1 species